rnacentral:lncRNA from 1 species
CAUAAUUUUGAACAAAUGAGUGCAAUUAUCUGGCGAUUUUAGGGAUUGACCCUUGAUGGGCGGUUGUGUGUUUUUCAUUAUUACCCGUUCAUUAUGCAUGUGUUGUAGCUCCAGAAAAACAUUACUUAUGUUUAGAUGCGCAAAUUGCUAGCAUCACGGAUGCAAUCACGGGGUGCCUGUGUGAGGCAAGCAACCCUUGAAGGAUAUGAAAUUUAAACAAAUGACCUGUUGCUUUAUAAGGAGAGUAGACGAAUCCAGGAAAGAACAAAACUCACCAUGUCUGGGUCGUCUAACGGAACUUAUACUUCAACCAAUAACCUAGUGUCUCUAUUAUUAAGAUGAUGCUAAUUUCCUUGGCUUACAUCAGGAUAUUGCUGCAACCCUGGCAACAGAAGAGGCAGAAGACUUGGCACAUGUAGCAAAGCUUCGUUCAGCUCUUGAAUCUGUCGAUCAUAAGAGAAGAAAGGUACUCCUCUCUUCCAUAUCACCGCUACUUGGGGCCUAUUAAUUCAAAUUUAACAUGAUUAUAGAUGGAUAUAUGGACUCUUAAAUAGCAGUUAAUAUUAAAAAGUGACAUACUUACAUAUAUAUAUUUAUAUAUAUACAUAUAUAUAUAUGUAUAUAUUUCCAAUGCUUGAAAAUUUCGGGUGUUUCCAUGGUCAAGUACGAAGUUAUGCCAUAUUGGUGUACUAGUAUAAGAACUUCUCAAUGCACAAACUGAAAAUUUGCCGAUUUUAGAGUACACUUUGGUUUCAUAAUAUUGCAUACCAUUAAUUGUGGAUAGAGCAGUUGGAUUUGCAUGAAUUUUUAUCUAAUUUUGAGCUGAUUAUUGAAAGAAUUAAGUGAUGUUUAUGAUUGCUUAAUUGGUGGGGCUAUUUCCUCUCCCUUUCUGGCUGCAAAUGCACAUUUUCUUUUGCUUAACACCUAAAAUAACUUUCAGAUACAAUUUUCCCAAUCCUUAAAUUGCCACACCUCUCUUUUUCUGUCGCUUUCUAGUCUACAUGCUGUCAUGUUCCUAUUUCCAUCUACAAAAUGAUGUUUCUUCCCGUUUUGUGUUUCUUUAGUGCAUAAGAUGAAGAACAUUGGCUUCCUCCACCCAAGAAAGGUUAUAAAAAAAAAAAAAAAAACCAAUUGGAUCGGAUUAUUUUGGUAGAAACUGUUGCAUACGUGACAAUUUGAUCUUCACUUCUUAGCUAUCCUAAGAUUAAGGAAAGAUGAACUAAAUAAGAGAGAGGGAAAGAAUGGUAUUGAAAGGGCCCAUAGAUGGACCUCAAACAAGAAAUUCCUCAUAGAGGGAGGGAGAGAAAGAAGGGGGUGGGCCCAUUUUGUGUUUCUUCAGUGCAUAAGAUGAAGAACAUUGGCUUCCUCCACCCAAGAAAGGUUAAAAAAAAACAAUUGGAACAAAUUAUUUUGGUAGAAACUGUUGCAUAUGUAACAUGUUUGAUCUUCAGUUCUUAGUUAUCUUAAGAUUAAGGAAAGAUGAACAAAAUAAGAGAGGGAAAAAAUGGUACUGAAAGGGCCCAUAGAUGGACCUCAAACAAGAAAAUCCUAAGAGAGGGAGGGAGAGAAAGAAGGGGGUGGAGGGUUAGGAGGGGGGAGGGAUAGAAAGAGAGGAUGAUGGUUUUAUUAGCUGAUCUCAUCUGCCCUUGCUGGUGGAUCUUUAUCUUUCCUUAUUGAGAAAGUUAUGUGAUGGGAAAGGGGCGAAGUUGCAAUGUAGAGUGUGACUCAGGCCCUCUUCUUGUUAGUGAAGAUAAUAGGAUUGUGCAAUCAAAGGAGCUUUUUUGUUGUACUUUAGUAACUGAGACCUAGAUGAGGAAAAGCAAAUUUGACACAGUGCUC